rnacentral:rRNA from 1 species
GACGAACCGUGCGAACGUUGUUCGGAAUCACUGGGCUUAAAGGGCGCGUAGGCGGGCUGGUAAGUCAGGGGUGAAAGCCCACGGCCCAACCGUGGAAGUGCCUUUGAUACUGCCGGCCUCGAGGGAGGUAGGGGCGUGCGGAACUUCCGGUGGAGCGGUGAAAUGCGUAGAUAUCGGAAGGAACACCAGUGGCGAAAGCGGCUUCCUGGUCCAGCACCGACGUUCAGGCACGAAAGCGUGGGGAGCAAACAGG